UACAGAGGCCUCGAGCGUUAGGCGGAAUCACUGGGCUUAAAGCGUGUGUAGGUGGAUGCCUAAGUACCUUGUGAAAUCCCACGGCUUAACCGUGGAAUGGCUGGGUAUACUGGGCGUCUUGAGCCACUCAGGGGCUACCGGAACAAAUGGUGGAGCGGUGAAAUGCGUAGAUAUCAUUUGGAACGCCAAUGGUGAAAACAGGUAGCUGGGGGUGUGCUGACACUGAGACACGAAAGCGUGGGGAGCAAACAGG
rnacentral:rRNA from 1 species